rnacentral:misc_RNA from 1 species
GGUUGUGGCAUGACUGUUGACGAACGAAUGAGCGGCACCCUUCGCAUCGCUUAGCGGUGAUGGCGGGGGUGCGCUGCGGCAUUCGUCCUCUAACAUUGUUCGAUGGGCUUCGCCUUUCGGGCCGAUGACAGUGGGCGGUGCUUCUUUGGAAUAAAUGCGGCUGAUUUGAAAGUUGUCUUGGUGCCAAGUGCGCUUUGCUAGUUGCUGGGCAUGUUGCCUCAAUCCUCUGUGCAACCGCGCUCCCUCGUUUGCGUCCAUCUAAGCGGUGGUGCCUGCGGCGGUCGCGUGAAAGUUGUCUCGAGGUUGUGCUACCUGGUUGAUCCUGCCAGUAGUCAUAUGCUUG